GAUGAACGCUGGCGGCGUGCUUAACACAUGCAAGUCGAACGAAGCUGUUAAAAGGAAGUCUUCGGAUGGAAUUUUAACAGACUUAGUGGCGGACGGGUGAGUAACGCGUGGAUAACCUGCCUUAUACAGGGGGAUAACGGAGAGAAAUUUCCGCUAAGACCGCAUAAGACCACAGCACCGCAUGGUGCAGGGGUAAAAUAUUAAUAGGUAUAAGAUGGAUCCGCGUCCGAUUAGCUAGUUGGUGAGGUAGAGGCUCACCAAGGCGACGAUCGGUAGCCGGCCUGAGAGGGUGAACGGCCACAUUGGGACUGAGACACGGCCCAAACUCCUACGGGAGGCAGCAGUGGGGAAUAUUGGACAAUGGGGGAAACCCUGAUCCAGCGACGCCGCGUGAGUGAAGAAGUAUUUCGGUAUGUAAAGCUCUAUCAGCAGGGAAGAAAANGACG
rnacentral:rRNA from 1 species